GAUGAACGCUAGUGACAGGCUUAACACAUGCAAGUCGAGGGGCAGCACGGUGUAGCAAUACAUGGGUGGCGACCGGCGCACGGGUGAGUAACGCGUAUGCAACCUACCUAUCAGAGGGGAAUAACCCGGCGAAAGUCGGACUAAUACCGCAAAAAACAGGGGUCCCACAUGGAAAUAUUUGUUAAAGAUUGAUCGCUGAUAGAUGGGCAUGCGUUCGAUUAGAGAGUUGGUUAGGUAACGGCUCACCAAGUCUACGAUGGAUAGGGGUUCAGAGAGGAAGGCCCCCCACACUGGUACUGAGACACGGACCAGACUCCUACGGGAGGCAGCAGUGAGGAAUAUUGGUCAAUGGGCGAGAGCCUGAACCAGCCAAGUCGCGUGAAGGAUGAAGGAUCUAUGGUUUGUAAACUUCUUUUAUAUGGGAAUAAAGUGAGGAACGUGUUCCUUUUUGUAUGUACCAUAUGAAUAAGCAUCGGCUAACUCCGUGCCAGCCGCCGCAGUAA
rnacentral:rRNA from 1 species